AUGUGUAGUUGCUUGUUACAUUGACAACUGUAUUUCAAGGGAUCAUUAUUGUGAUCGUCUGUAUACGAUACAAUGCAGUUAUUUAGUCUCUCUCUAGACGAUUAGGCUUUUAUUAUUAUACUAUAAACCAGAGAGUCUGACAUUUUUUUGCAAAGUGAUAGGUAAAAUUGCUCACGAUUCCGCAAUUUUAGGUAUCUUUUAUACAUAAUAAUUUGCAAGUCGCUUGCCGAGUUUGCGGAGCCCUAGUAUUACCAAGUUGGAAUUGCUGGUGUAACAAAAAAAGUCCUAUAGCUAUAGGCAUAUGUGUAAAUACUUUAUGAAAGGUGAAUACACAAUUGUUGAUCAAAACAGAACUAAAGUAAUAAAUUUUAAUUUUAUGAUGAUUAGUAUGAGAUAAGAGCCAGGGCUUUAAUUAUUCCGAGCUUUGAGCUUAGAGCUUCCAGGAAAAUCCCACAUCCUGGUAUGUGUAUGUAACAACAAAGUCAAAACUAAAGUAGUGCUCGGAGUUUAAAUUACAGAAAGACAUGACAAAGACAGGGUAGGAUCAAUUCAGCAGUAUGAACAUUAGCAGUGCAGUGUUACUUUCUUAAAUAAUGUCUAAAUUAGUCGGUCCAAUGGCUACCAGGGUAAUUCGUUACAGCUAUUGUCAGUUGUCAGUUUGUUAAAGAAAUAAAAUAAAGUAUAAAUCUAUGGUAAGCUCACUCGGUAUUAUCGCCUUUACAGUUUUCAGCUAUAGUGUGGUCUGUACCCCGUCAUAACUCCAGUUGACGUCGUUAUGAUCAAGGACAUAGCAGAUGAUGAGGCUACCCAGGCCACUAACAAUGAUGCCAGCGAGUGCAAGCAGAGCGCCGUGCAGCUUGGCUACUGGGAUGACUGUUAUAUUGGUUAUUUUAUAAAGCAUGCUAGUCGCAGGACACCAGAAAUCAAUCGAGGCUACUAUGCUAGAGUUAAGGGCAUAGAGCUUUUUCUUAACAAAUUUAUUAAGUUAUCUGGAGGCAAUGGACAAAUUAUCAAUUUAGGAGCCGGAUUUGAUACACUUUAUUGGAAACUAAAAGAUGCAAAACUUAAUCUAGUAAACUUCAUAGAACUCGAUUUUCCAAAUGUUACUGCAAAGAAAUGCUAUUAUAUAAAGAAGCACAAGCCGCUCAUCGACAGACUUAAUACGGAAGAUGGUGAGAUAAGGUUUUCUACAACAGACCUUCAUGCAGCUAAUUACCACUUGGUGGGUGCAGAUUUGAGACACGUAUCAGACCUUGCAAAUAAAUUGAAAGAAGCUGAAGUUGAUUUUACAUUACCAACGCUAUUUCUUUCAGAAUGUGUGUUAGUAUAUAUUGACUCUAAUGCUACAUCACUCCUAUUAAAGUAUUUAUCUAAAACUUUCUCUAAUAGUAUUUUUAUAAAUUAUGAGCAAGUUAAUAUGCAAAAUAAAUUUGGACAAGUUAUGCUCACUAAUUUGCGUACUCGAGGAUGUUUAUUAGCUGGAGUUGAAGAGUGUGAAUCCUUAGAGUCACAACGGAGACGUUUUACUGUAAAUGGUUGGGAAGGUGCUGAUGCUUGGACUAUGGUUGAAAUAUACGAUGUCCUACCUGAGGUUGACAAACUGCGUAUUGAGUGCAUUGAAAUGCUGGAUGAAAGAGAACUUCUCACUCAAUUACUACACAAUUACUGCAUUUCUAUCGCAUGGAAUGGGACUAUGUUCCAAAAUCUCUCUAUAUCACAAGAAAUGUCGUGAAAUUUACUCCUGCUACUGUACACCAUAGCUGUACGACUUUUUACAGUUGACAUUGAAGUUAUGUUUUCUUUUCAAAUCCAGUGACUCGACAAAAUGGUUCCGGAUAAAAGUGAUAAGAGAAUGUAAUUGUGAUGGUAUGUUGGAUAGCGCAAUAAUGACUGACCUUCUAUACAUCUAUGUAUUAAAUAAAAAUGAAAGUCAAUCCAUUGCAAUGGAGUAUUAGCGUAUUAACUUCACCUUACACCGUAAAUUUAUCGAAAAUUUAAAAUUACUUUAUUUAUAGUAAGGUGAAAAUUUAAGUUGGAAAUAAAAUUUCAUUUUUG
rnacentral:misc_RNA from 1 species